UACGGAGGGUGCAAGCGUUAUCCGGAUUCACUGGGUUUAAAGGGUGCGUAGGUGGGUUGGUAAGUCAGUGGUGAAAUCUCCAGGCUUAACUUGGAAACUGCCAUAGAUACUAUCAAUCUUGAAUACCGUGGAGGUCAGCGGAAUAUGUCAUGUAGCGGUGAAAUGCUUAGAUAUGACAUAGAACACCAAUUGCGAAGGCAGCUGGCUACACGAAUAUUGACACUGAUGCACGAAAGCGUGGGGAUCAAACAGG
rnacentral:rRNA from 1 species